AUUGAACGCUGGCGGCAUGCUUUACACAUGCAAGUCGAACGGCAGCGCGGGCUUCGGCCUGGCGGCGAGUGGCGAACGGGUGAGUAAUGCAUCGGAACGUGCCCAGUAGUGGGGGAUAGCCCGGCGAAAGCCGGAUUAAUACCGCAUACGACCUGAGGGUGAAAGCGGGGGACCGAAAGGCCUCGCGCUAUUGGAGCGGCCGAUGUCGGAUUAGCUAGUUGGUGGGGUAAAGGCCUACCAAGGCGACGAUCCGUAGCUGGUCUGAGAGGACGACCAGCCACACUGGGACUGAGACACGGCCCAGACUCCUACGGGAGGCAGCAGUGGGGAAUUUUGGACAAUGGGGGCAACCCUGAUCCAGCCAUGCCGCGUGCGGGAAGAAGGCCUUCGGGUUGUAAACCGCUUUUGUUCGGGAAGAAAUCCUCUGGGCUAAUACCCCGGGGGGAUGACGGUACCGGAAGAAUAAGCACCGGCUAACUACGUG
rnacentral:rRNA from 1 species